GCGUCGGUGGUGCAACGGUUUAGCACAUCACAUGCUCCCGGAAAGAGUAAGAUCUGGGUUAAAAUCCCGGCUGACGCA